rnacentral:rRNA from 1 species
GAUGAACGCUGGCGGCGUGCCUAAUACAUGCAAGUCGAGCGAACAGACGAGGAUCUUGCUCCUCUGACGUUAGCGGCGGACGGGUGAGUAACACGUGGAUAACCUACCUAUAAGACUGGGAUAACUUCGGGAAACCGGAGCUAAUACCGGAUAAUAUAUUGAACCGCAUGGUUCAAUAGUGAAAGACGGUUUUGCUGUCACUUAUAGAUGGAUCCGCGCCGCAUUAGCUAGUUGGUAAGGUAACGGCUUACCAAGGCAACGAUGCGUAGCCGACCUGAGAGGGUGAUCGGCCACACUGGAACUGAGACACGGUCCAGACUCCUACGGGAGGCAGCAGUAGGGAAUCUUCGGCAAUGGGCGAAAGCCUGACGGAGCAACGCCGCGUGAGUGAUGAAGGUCUUCGGAUCGUAAAACUCUGUUAUUAGGGAAGAACAAAUGUGUAAGUAACUAUGCACGUCUUGACGGUACCUAAUCAGAAAGCCACGGCUAACUACGUG